CAGCCUUCUUUUCGUCCGUUUGGAGGAUCCAACAGCUGGAUCCUUCGCAGCCCCAGGUAUCCCGACAUUCAUUGCGCGCCGGUUGAUUGUCCCAGCGUAAAUAAUGGCGUCGAUUGUGGCUGUGGAGUUGAGCCCCCCCGAAUUUUACCUAUAAAUGGAGCAAGGAGCAAACUGCCCUCUUUAUUAAAUUGAGGGGGGAGAGCGACCACCUCUUCACCUGGGCAAAGAUUUCUGCCAACGUGGCUUGGAGGAGUGCAAGUGUCCAGGGUCAGGAGAGGGUGUAGGGGGGAAGCCCACAGCUGCAACUUGGCCCUGGUUUGUCCUCAUGGAUGAGGUGUUGGGACAGAGGCAUUCCACCACCCCACCUGUCGUAAUUGCCUCUAUCCCUGAGGACACACCAGGGCCAAGUGCUGCAGUGGGUGACCAGGAGGAGGAAGAGGAGGAGGAGGAGAGCCAGCCGAGAAAGAGAAAGAGGGACAAAGAGGAUGAGCUGCUUCAGCUACUGAAGAAAGACAUGAAGUUGCAGAGAGAGGCAGAGGAGAGGAGAGCACAGGAGAGCAGAGGGAGGAUGGACAGGCUGUUCUCUCUACUAGAGAGACUGGCCGAAUAAUAAAUAAAUAAAUCCUUAAAUAA